UUCUGAAAAUUGUCACGCGUUCGUGACGUCGUGUAGAUCACCGCGGUGAAAAAUUAUACAGAAGAAGAAUGUAACCAAUCUAGGGGAGGCUCAGGGACCUACGAGACAUCGAUGUGAUCUGUUCAAGAAGUGCAAAGGUGUGUGGUGACUACGAGGAAAUUCAACGGUGUUCUGACAGAAUGGGAACCAAAUGAGGACUCACCUUCGGGUGGUUCAUCUUAGAAGUUGUAUAUUUUAAAGCUUCCGAACUGUGUAAAU